rnacentral:rRNA from 1 species
CCUACGGGGGGCUGCAGUGGGGAAUAUUGGACAAUGGGGGCAACCCUGAUCCAGCCAUGCCGCGUGUGUGAAGAAGGCCCUCGGGUUGUAAAGCACUUUCAGUGAGGAAGAACGCCUGGUGGUUAAUACCCAUCAGGAAAGACAUCACUCACAGAAGAAGCACCGGCUAACUCCGUGCCAGCAGCCGCGGUAAUACGGAGGGUGCGAGCGUUAAUCGGAAUUACUGGGCGUAAAGCGCGCGUAGGUGGCUUGAUAAGCCGGUUGUGAAAGCCCCGGGCUCAACCUGGGAACGGCAUCCGGAACUGUCAAGCUAGAGUGCAGGAGAGGAAGGUAGAAUUCCCGGUGUAGCGGUGAAAUGCGUAGAGAUCGGGAGGAAUACCAGUGGCGAAGGCGGCCUUCUGGACUGACACUGACACUGAGGUGCGAACGCGUGGGUAGCAAACAGGAUUAGAUACCCGAGUAGUC